rnacentral:lncRNA from 1 species
CCAGUUCUUGGGCUCUAACUCAGAUUAUCUGCAUCAGGUUCUUUGAAGAUGAGGCCACUUCCGCAUUGUUAAGAAGUUCCAUGGAUUCUCAUGCACGGUAAAGUUGAAGAAUCACUGUUCUCCACGAUUUUGUGUCUGUACUGGAGAAGUUGGCUCAGAGAUGAAGAAGUAACUGGAACACAAUCAUCUGGCAAAAUCAACUGAGAAAAAUGGAAAAAAAGUACCACCUGGCUUCCUUGCUAGUAAUAUUUUUAGUGGCAAUAAUACCCAAAUAAUGUGGAUCCCAAUCAAGGGUUGAAGAGAGACCUUUUGGGAGGAGUUUAAAGGGGGAAUGUCCUUGAGUAUGUGGAAGAAAAUUGAGGAAGGCUGUCAAAUAAACACAUUGCUAGGAGGAUCACCUCAACCUGUAGGAACUUCCUUCCUGCCAAGAAGCUGGUUCAUUCAUCACCAAGCAUCAUCAUCAUGGAAUUCUCACCCUGCUGGAGGUUCGAGCCAAGACAUAGAAAGAGGACAUUACCUGGGGCAGGAAUCAAUUGCCUAUCACUGGGGAUGCCUGCAGAUCAUUGUCCAGAGUGGCUGCUGUUCACUGAGUGUUUCCUCUGUGCCGGGCACCUUGCACACCUUAUUUUCAGUCUCCGCAGCUGCCUUGUUGAGGGAACACCACAUCACAAGGUCUGUGGGAGUUGGAGAAAACUCUCGCUGACUCCCUGAAUAUAGUCCCAGUGGGAACCACCUUGGGGAGAGGCUCUGUCCAGCUGAACCCUCCAGUGCACAGUAUGCUUGGCUGCAGAGGCUUGGAGUGAGAGAGGAGACCAGGGUCCAGCUUCUCGGACAGCACUCACUGGGGUAGGUUGUGUCUGGCACAUUUUCAGCAACUGCUUUCAAAGUAAUAAUAAUAGGAAUUAUAAUCUAAAAAGAAUGGCUUCCACAUGUCGCUCUGCUUGUUUAAAAUCCAGGUUCACAGCCCUACUUCUUGAAUUCCCAAUUAAGAAGCGUCUGAAGGAAUCCAGUGAUCUCUGUAUUUAACUAUCUUUCAGAAUAAUUUAUCAGCAACUAACUACGACAUUUGAAAAUCACUGAUCUAAAAAUGUCAACAUCCUGUUCACAGACAUUUCAAAGUUUCCUGAAAUAAUAGUUCAAGACUUUCUUUUAGAGUGACUCCCCUAUGAUACAAAGCAAAUGCACGUAUAUGAAAGUAUAUAAUGACCAGAAUAGUCUGGUAAUCCAGUGAGUAUCUAUGAUGUGCUAGGCACUGCACAGAAAAGUUUACAGGCAUUACUGCAUUUAAUCCUUUCUGCAGAUUUUAUGGGGAGAGGGUUAUGAAUGCACCCAU